GAGCAAAUGCAGGAGAGUAGAGAGGGCCUGAAAAGAAAGGGUGAUUAAGUUGUCCUGCAGUGAGGGAAACAACUGCAGGAUAGGGCCUCUUUCUUCUCUAGUACCCAGCAUGGCACCUGGCACCCAACAAGUGCAGACCAAUGUAGAAGAGCAAGGCAAUGUCAAUUUCAGGAGUGCAGGGCUCUCCUCCUCCCUAGGAACUAUUCAACCUCUGCCUUGAUACUGAAGAGCACAAAGCAGGAGAAAACUCUAUGUCUUUCCCAAAGGCAAUCUGUCUGUCUCUCUUUCCGGGAAGGUGUGUGCCUGCCAAUCACUCUAUAGGAAAGGAUGUACCUUUGAAGAGGAACUUUCUGGACCCUCUUAAUUCUGCCAUCAGUGCAGCUCUUCCAGAUAAAGAACAGAAGCGUACCUGGGAGAGCUGGCUGAAACCAGGACACGGUGGGACCAUUGGAAAGGACUCUAAACCACAGCAGCAGAAGGAGAGCUAGACUUGCAGGGACCCAGGCUCCACACUAGGGACCUCGACCUUGUCCUGCAGGGAGUGGAGACCCAUGAAUGGAUGUUAGCCCACAGUGCCUUGCAUACAGGAGAUCAUCAUUCUUCUGGUCCUAUGCCAUGUGAUUGUUACUGAGGAGGAUGGAGAUGACAUCAUCUACCACGCCUCCUCCCCAGAUGAAGCUGCUUUGGUGGAAGGUGCUAAAAAGCUGGGCUUUGUACAGUGAGAACACCAUAUUCGGUCAUCAUAGAAGCAAUAGAGCUUUGGAGCCAAACCCUUCUGAUGAUCCAAGGGCAAGCACAGUCUUCUUGCAAAAAUCUCAAACAGAUGGUGAGACGACACUGUUUUUUCCACCAAGAAGACGACUGAAAACUCUCUGUCAUAAUGAGUGUAUUAUAGAAAGCAUUUAGAGAAACUUACAUUGGUUUAAAAUUUUCAACUUUUCAUAUAUUCACUUGUCCUAUUUUAAUGUGUGAAAUACUUCUCUUUAGUUGUUACUGUGUGAGUGAAAACAUGUAAACUUUCUGUUUAUACAUUUUGCUACCUUUUGGCAACACCAUUUGUCAUGUGAUUUAAGAGUAGUCAUAGAUUUAUCUUUAUUCAUAAUUUUUUAUUCAUAUUUUUUGUCUUUCGCCCUUUUUCCCUUGCUCCAAAGAGUUCAUUUUAAUGAUGAAUGAUAGAAUUUAGGCUUCAGCUUGAUCUUUAUUUAAACAAAUAAAAAAACCAUUUGUUCAUCAAUGGGGAUUGAAUUUGUGAUUUCAGCCUCCUCUUAUACAGUGCUUUAACCAUAUGAGCUUAUCACAUCCAAGUUUAUGCUACUCAAAACUUUUAAGCUAUUAAACUUUUCCUGCUAAUGUAAUAUAAAUUUAAACAUCCAGUACUCCUGCUUAUAUUUUAAAUGUUAUGGUAAAUCCUAGUUUAUUUGAUUAAAAAGCCAUAUACAACCAAGUUUUUUAGUUGAUUUCAACAGCAAGAAUAUAAAUGAGGGUUCUAUAAUAAUAUUUGAAGUAAUGCAGUACAAUAAAAUUUGGGUUUCUAAUUGUGCUUUUAUGGUUUGUGUGGAUUUUGCCUGCCUU
rnacentral:lncRNA from 1 species